AGCAGCCGCGGUAAUUCCAGCUCCAAUAGCGUAUAUUAAAGUUGUUGCAGUUAAAAAGCUCGUAGUUGAAUUUCGGGAUUAGUAAGUUGGUCGUGCCUCUGGUAUGUACUGGCUUUACUGGUUCCUCCUUCUUGAAGAACUGUAAUGUCAUUAAUUUGGUGUUGCAGGGAAACAGGACUGUUACUUUGAAAAAAUUAGAGUGUUUAAAGCAGGCUAACGCUUGAAUACAUUAGCAUGGAAUAAUGAAAUAGGACGUUUGAUCCUAUUUUGUUGGUUUCUAGGAUUUGACGUAAUGAUUAAUAGGGAUAGUUGGGGGCAUUAGUAUUCAAUUGUCAGAGGUGAAAUUCUUGGAUUUAUUGAAGACUGCCAAGGAUGUUUUCAUUAAUCAAGAACGAAAGUU
rnacentral:rRNA from 1 species